rnacentral:lncRNA from 1 species
CAUAUAUGAAAUAUGUACAUAUAUGUAAUAUAUGUAAAUAUAUAUUGUAUCUAAUGUAUGUAUAUAUGAUACAUAUAACAUAAUUUAUAAUAAACAUAAUUAUGUAUUUAAUAUAUAAACAUACAAAUAAUUAUAAACGUAUUUAAAAAUUAUAACCUAAACGAUUAUUGUCUUUUAGCAGGGGAAGACCUCCAACUAUAAUCUAUCCACACAACUAUAAUCUAUCCUGUAAACAACUGGGUUUCUUGAGAAAAUCCCAUGAAGAGAAAACUGAAGUUCUUCAUAUAACAUGAUGCAGUUUAUUAACACCAGAAGAACGGGAAACAGAAGAGAAAGAGAAGAAAGAAAAGAAGGAAGAGGAGGAGAAUGUAUGUGGGAAGAAGGAAAUUGCCAUCUUCUCAGGAGUUCAAAGAGAAGAGCUCAAUUCAGAUCUCUCUCAGCCAAUCACCACUACUUUCGGGAGACCAUAGCCUUUCUCCAAGUCAAAUCUGUGGCUGUGAAACUCCAUCUCUUAAUUUGUAAAGCAACAGGACAGGUGCUAGAAAACAAGCCUUAUCUGUUAGAAUAAAGUGCAAUUACUGACCUAUAGAACUAUCACUUUGUGGUAGGCAAAAGAAAGAUAUUAAGUAAAGAAAAAGUGUAAAUGUGUCUACUGUCAAAAAGAAAUAUACAACUAUCUGAGAUAGUAUACCUUCAAGUGGAGACGGAAGAUUUUUACAUAUACUCCCCAGGCUAAACAAAGAUCUUAUUUGUGCAUGGUCAAGUAUGAUUUACCAAGGAAAGGGGCUCACUGUCCUAUCUGAAACAUCCUUUUGAAAGACACCUGCAGUACUAUUAUGCUACAAAAAGCACCAGGUCAUUAGGGGCUCUGUCAAUCAACUGACUGAUUCCUCCAGAUAUGACUGGUGAAUAAAGAAGGCACUUUUCAGUUUCAGACUGAAAGUCACACUCCACCUGCUCCAAACCCUGGGGUUUUGAGAAAAUGAAAAGUUAACCUAAUCUACUUCCAUGCUAACAGAAACAUUUGGUUCUCAAAGCCAGACUUAGGAAUUCUUUUGUCCAAGCAGAAGUCAAUUCUCAGGAAUGUCUGAAAACUCUUCUGGAUUCCUUUAUCAUUUCAUCAUAGUUAGUUUAGAAAAUAUUGGUAGAGAAAUAUAGUAGCUAGUGCUCUAUUUAAAAAUUAGUAAAUAAAACACUUACCUUUCUGAACAACUACAACUAAAUCACCAAACCCUGAAAAAUUUGAUUACUUGCUCAUCUUUUUAGUUUUUUCCUCCUAACCUGUAUCAUUCGAAGUUUCACAGACAGCAGAAUUGAAAAAUUCUACCAUGAACACCAGAAUGCCAAUCAUCUAGAUUCUAUCAUUUACCUUUACUAGACUUGUUUUUAUCACAUUAUCUAUUUACUUAUCCUUAUAUACAACCAUCAUUUUACCUUAUUUUUAAGGCAUUUCGAAGCAAAUUGCAGACAUCUGACUGUUUCCCUCCAAAUACUGUACCAUGCACAUCAUUAACUGGAGUUUAAUAUUUGUUUGAUAGUUAUUUUCUUUGGAUCUAAAAUUUACAUACACUGAAAUGCACAAAUCUUAACUGUACUUUUGCUGAGUUUUGAGAAUCCAUAUAUCUGUUGUAACUCAAGCCCCCAUGAAGAUAUAGAACAUAAUAAUCCAGAAAGUUCUCUUUCCUCGCUUUUAGUCAAUUGCAACCCAUGCUGCUUUCUAGGUAGUUACUCUUGUUCUAAUUUUUUUUCAGCAUACGUUAGAUUUGCCUGUUCUAGAAUAUUAUAUAAAUGGAAUUAUGCAACAUGCAUACUUUGUAUAAGGCAUCUUUCACUUAGCAGAGUGUUCUGGAAAUUCAUCCAAUUGAUGCAUGUACAUAUCAGUUACUUUUCCCAUAUUGUUUAGUAGUGUGCUAUUAUACGCCUAUACCAAUUUGUUAUCCGUUUUCACAGCGUUUAACAUCUAGGGUCUCCAGUUUGUGCUAUUAUGAACAAAGCCACUAUAAACAUUCUUGUACAAGUUACUUUUACUUUGUCUUAGGUAAAUAACUAAGGUUGGAAUUGCUGGGUCUUUGAAUACUUGGAAAUUUCAUUUUAUAAGAAACUUAUAAGACCAUUUUAUACUCCCACAAGCAUUGUAUGAGGGUGCCUCUUGUUCCGAAUAUUCUCUAAUAAUUGUUACUACCAGUCAUUGUAAUUGAAACCAUUCUCAUGUGAAUGGAGUAGUAUCUCAUUGUGGUUUCAAUUCGUAUUUCCCACUUGACUAAUGAUGUUGAUCAAUUGUUCAUGUGCUUCUUUUGUGAAAUGUAUAUUAAAUUAUUUUUCCCAUUUUUUAUUGGGUACUUUAUGUUUUAUUACUGAAUUGUAGGAAUUUUUCGUUUUGGAUACCUUUUGUCAGUUUUUUGCUUUGCAAACAUUUUCUCUUAACAAUUUACUUUCCUAAUAUCUUUUAUUCAAUGUAGAAUACACAUAAGAGUAGAUAUCCUUGAAUUAUUCCUGAUCUUAUGGAAUGCAUCUCAUAUUAAAUGUAAUGUUGGCUGUAGGCUUUUUAAUGUGACCAUUAUACUGAGGAAAUUCCUUCUAUUCCUAAUUCAAGGCAAGAUUUUUUUCUUUAAUCAUAAGUGGAUAAUAAAUUUUGAGUGCUUUUAAAAAUAAUUAUUGAAAAGAUAACUUUUUUAUUCUGUAAAUAUAGUAAAUUAUAUUCUUGAUCAUCAAAUGAUAAA